UACGUAGGGGGGCAAGCGUUGUCCGGAUUUAUUGGGCGUAAAGAGCUCGUAGGCGGUUCCGUAAGUCGGAUGUGAAAAAAUCUGGGCUCAACCCAGUGGAGCACCCGAUACUGCGGUGACUCGAGUCCGGUAGGGGAGUGUGGAAUUCCUGGUGUAGCGGUGAAAUGCGCAGAUAUCGGGAGGAACACCUGUGGCGAAAAGCGGCUCACUGGACCAUUACUGACGCUGAUGCUCGAAAGCUAGGGGAGCAAACAGG
rnacentral:rRNA from 1 species